UACGUAGGGUGCGAGCGUUGUCCGGAAUUAUUGGGCGUAAAGAGCUUGUAGGCGGUUUGUCGCGUCUGCUGUGAAAUUUCGGGGCUCAACCCCGAACUUGCAGUGGGUACGGGCAGACUAGAGUGUGGUAGGGGAGACUGGAAUUCCUGGUGUAGCGGUGGAAUGCGCAGAUAUCAGGAGGAACACCGGUGGCGAAGGCGGGUCUCUGGGCAGUAACUGACGCUGAGGAGCGAAAGCGUGGGGAGCGAACAGG
rnacentral:rRNA from 1 species